rnacentral:rRNA from 1 species
AUUGAACGCUGGCGGCAGGCCUAACACAUGCAAGUCGAACGGUAACAGGAAGACUCUUGCUUCUUUGCUGACGAGUGGCGGACGGGUGAGUAAUGUCUGGGAAACUGCCUGAUGGAGGGGGAUAACUACUGGAAACGGUAGCUAAUACCGCAUAACGUCGCAAGACCAAAGAGGGGGACCUUCGGGCCUCUUGCCAUCGGAUGUGCCCAGAUGGGAUUAGCUAGUAGGUGGGGUAACGGCUCACCUAGGCGACGAUCCCUAGCUGGUCUGAGAGGAUGACCGGCCACACUGGAACUGAGACACGGUCCAGACUCCUACGGGAGGCAGCAGUGGGGAAUAUUGCACAAUGGGCGCAAGCCUGAUGCAGCAAUGCCGCGUGUAUGAAGAAGGCCUUCGGGUUGUAAAGUACUUUCAGCGGGGAGGAAGGGAGUAAAGUUAAUACCUUUGCUCAUUGACGUUACCCGCAGAAGAAGCACCGGCUAACUCCGUG